rnacentral:rRNA from 1 species
CACGUAGUUAGCCGUGGCUUUCUGGUUAGGUACCGUCAAGACUUGUUCAGUUACUAACAAAUUUGUUCUUCCCUAACAACAGAGUUUUACGAUCCUAAGACCUUCAUCACUCACGCGACGUUGCUCCGUCAGGCUUUCGCCCAUUGCGGAAGAUUCCCUACUGCUGCCUCCCGUAGGAGUCUGGACCGUGUCUCAGUUCCAGUGUGGCCGAUCACCCUCUCAGGUCGGCUACGUAUCGUUGCCUUGGUAAGCCGUUACCUUACCAACUAGCUAAUACGGCGCGGGUCCAUCUAUAAGUGACAGCCGAAACCGUCUUUCAACAUUGAACCAUGCGGUUCAAUAUAUUAUCCGGUAUUAGCCCCGGUUUCCCGGAGUUAUCCCAGUCUUAUAGGUAGGUUACCCACGUGUUACUCACCCGUCCGCCGCUAACAUCAGAGAAGCAAGCUUCUCAUCUGUUCGCUCGACUUGCAUGUAUUAGGCACGCCGCCAGCGUUCAUCCUGAGCCAGGAUCAAACUCU